rnacentral:piRNA from 1 species
UAUCAGUAAGAUGUUGACCAU